GUUCGGUUGGAAUCGGUUUCGGUUCUUUUGCUCACCUUAUGAUUUGGCAAUAUGACAUGGGCCCCACACGGAAGCUUACAAAGCAACACGUGUCACGCUUAGCUGGCAAAAGAAUUACAGCUUACACACGUGGCACGCUUAGUUGGCUAAAAGAAUGGUUAUGAUUUUGCUUCCUUCCUUCCUUCACGGGUUUCGACGGCGACAAAGCAUUUUCGAACCUCUUUACGCGUGAAUCCUGUUUCUGCACACUCUGAGAGGAGGAGAUUCCAAAUUUCUCUCAUUCCUUCCUUCCUUCCGUGACGACGGUUUCAUGUCUAACACUUAAAACGCAGCGUUUUCGUUCCGUGUUUGUUUAUGAUCACGAAAGCUAAUCCCCAUAAUCUGGGUUAAGCUCCAAAAACAUCAAACAAACCAUGGACACUGGAGGAUUCUCCCGAACGAAUCACGAAUCCAACACCCAAAAACUCGAGAUCGAACCAUCACCAUCCGAUGAUCAUCAAUUCCACUCGAUGAACGCUCUCGAGAUCCUAAGAGAAACCGUUCGGAUCCUCCGCUACAACCUCGCCGCGUUCACGCUAACCUUACUCCUCCUGAUCUGCCCCGUCUCCGCGAUCCUCCUCCCCAACCUCCUAGUCGACCAAUCAGUCGUCAAUUCGCUCACCAUCCGCCUCGUCCUCCUCGCGAAAUCCAGCGGCUUGCCGUUACUACCUUUUGUUCGAAACUCGUGCCAGAAAUUCUCGGAAACAGCCGUCUCCUCCGCCGCGUGCUUCCCUCUCUUCGUCACUCUCUCGCUCUUAUCCAGAGCCGCCGUCGUCUAUUCCGUCGAUUGCACUUACUCGAGGAGGAGAGUCGUGGCCGCCAAGUUCGUUGUGAUCAUGCAGAGACUCUGGAAACGCCUCGUCUUCACUUACCUUUGGGUCUGCGUCGUGAUCGUCGUCUGCCUCACUUCCUUCUGCGUCUUCCUCGUUGCUGUUUGCAGCUCCUUCUUCGUUCUUGGCUUCUCUCCUGAUUUUAAUGCAUAUGGAGCUAUCUUUAUCGGUUUGGGGUUCUCUGUAGUGUUUGCGAAUGUGAUUAUUAUAUGCAAUACCACGAUUGUGAUCUCGAUUUUGGAAGACGUCUCCGGUCCAAGGGCGUUGGUGAGAGCGAAUGAUUUGAUCAAGGGGCAGACGCAGGUUGGGUUGUUGAUUUUUCUAGGGUCGACGAUAGGGUUGACGUUUGUGGAAGGGCUGUUUGAGCAUAGGGUGAAGAUUUUGAGCUACGGAGAUGGGUCUUCGAGGAUUUGGGAAGGUCCGCUGCUUGUGGUGAUGUAUUCGUUUGUGGUGCUUAUUGAUACGAUGAUGAGUGCGGUUUUCUAUUUUAGUUGCCGGUCUUAUAGUAUGGAAGCUGUGGAGGCUCUUGAGGCUUCGGGAGGUGGGACUCAGCCCAUUAUGGAGAUGGUGUCUCAAGAUUUGUCUCUUCUAUAAGAGUGUCUUUUCGGAUUUUCAAACGUUUAGUUUCGUUCUGUUUUCUUGGUUUCUAUACACAAAGAGAAGGAGCAAAGCAUGCUCCAAUGAUCAUUGUUUUCAGGAGUUGUGGGCGAGUUAAGCUGCCUCAUUUCUACUGUUGCAGGGGUGCGCUCGCAAUACCUGAUCAGCAAAACAAUUCUCACAACUGAGUAGGACUUUACUAUGUGAUUAAGUUUUGCUGGAUUUUGAUCUCAAGAGGGUGGAAAUAUCAUACGUUUUUCUUAGUGGAUAAGUCAAUGGAUACGUAGGCUUAAAUUGGCUCUGUUUUGGCAUAAAUCAUUUGGAUUUCUCCUGCAGAAUCAGUACAAUAUAUUUCCUUUGUUUGCAUUGAAGGUCAAUUGAACCUGAGAUCCGAA